CUGACUGAAUUAAUAAAUGUGAACGGAUUAACCAGCAGCCUCGCCAGACAUCAAAGCAUGGCAUUACAGCCCCAGUCAUCAGCAGCCCGGAGGCAUUAUGAGUUAAAUGUUUUUGGCCUUUGUAUACAGAAUGGCAGGCAUAUGUAAUGGUUGUAAUAAAUACACUAUGCCCCUUCACAACCGCUUGACAUAUGAAUGUUUUUUUUUUACAGUUUUCCUUUAGGUGUGCAGCAUGCAGACAGACUGAGACGAUGGCUGGUGAACAUAAGACGACAAGACUGGGAGCCCAGCAAGUCAUCUCAUCUCUGUAGUCUUCAUUUUGAAGACCAUGAAUUCACCCUUGAUACCUAUGGGAAUCGUCUGACUUGCACUGCAGUACCAACUGUGUUCUCCCUUCCUGACCACCUGGUGAAGAGACCUGCUAGUAGAAAGGCAAGUGGUUAUUUUCUUAUCCUUUCUUUGUCAAGUGCUGCAAAUGAGAAGGAAUGUGAAAUGGUGGCUGCUAAUACAUCAGAUCAAAAUGUGGCUUGUCAGUAGUGAGCAGUUACAUUUUUGUGUCACCCAAGACAUUAAAACGAAAGAAUGAUGUCAUGGUUGAGAUUGUGGAGAAAUAUUAAAAGAGGAUGAGAAAGUAAGACGUGUAAAGUAAGUUUCAUGGCAUAACACAAACUUAGAACUUUUUUUUUAUGUGUUGUCUGUAAUGCUAUACAACUGUAAUACCUCCUGGAAGUUUUGAUUUUAUUUAUGUUUUUUCACAUGGCGGUGGUGGUGCAGGAAGGGGGUAUUUUGUCUUCCGCCUCCCUCCUGCACCACCACCACCAUCACCAGAGCUGAAGGUCCACGCCACCAUCGCCAGAGCUGAAGGUCUACACCACCACCAUCACCAGAGCUGAAGGUCCACGCCACCAUCGCCAGAGCUGAAGGUCUACACCACCACCAUCACCAGAGCUGAAGGUCUACGCCACCAUCGCCAGAGCUGAAGGUCUACACCACCACCAUCACCAGAGCUGAAGGUCUACGCCACCAUCGCCAGAGCUCAAGGUCUACAACGCUGCUGCCACCAGAGCUGAAAUCUCUCUAAGUUAAUGACUAACCCCCCCUCACCCCUUGGCAAACACAAUAAAACAUGGUCAUUUGUGGAUA